rnacentral:rRNA from 1 species
UACGUAGGGUCCGAGCGUUGUCCGGAAUUAUUGGGCGUAAAGGGCUCGUAGGCGGUUUGUCGCGUCGGGAGUGAAAACCAGGUGCUUAACACCUGGCCUGCUUUCGAUACGGGCAGACUAGAGGCAUUCAGGGGAGAACGGAAUUCCUGGUGUAGCGGUGAAAUGCGCAGAUAUCAGGAGGAACACCGGUGGCGAAGGCGACUACCUGGACCAGCACUGACACUGAGGCACGAAAGCGUGGGGAGCAAACAGG